AGAGUUAAGAAGUUUCACAAAACAGCUAGUUUCGACCUAGAAAAAGAAAUAAAUUUCCUAACUC
rnacentral:tRNA from 1 species